UGGGUGAAAUUCUGGUGUCG
rnacentral:siRNA from 1 species